UAGGGAAUCUUCCACAAUGGACGCAAGUCUGAUGGAGCAACGCCGCGUGAGUGAAGAAGGUCUUCGGAUCGUAAAACUCUGUUGUUAGAGAAGAACACGAGUGAGAGUAACUGUUCAUUCGAUGACGGUAUCUAACCAGCAAGUCACGACUAACUACGUGUCAG
rnacentral:rRNA from 1 species